GACGAACGCUGGCGGCGUGCUUAACACAUGCAAGUCGAACGGAAAGGCCCUGCUUUUGUGGGGUGCUCGAGUGGCGAACGGGUGAGUAACACGUGAGUAACCUGCCCUUGACUUUGGGAUAACUUCAGGAAACUGGGGCUAAUACCGGAUAGGAGCUCCUGCUGAAUGGUGGGGGUUGGAAAGUUUCGGCGGUUGGGGAUGGACUCGCGGCUUAUCAGCUUGUUGGUGGGGUAGUGGCUUACCAAGGCUUUGGCGGGUAGCCGGCCUGAGAGGGUGACCGGCCACAUUGGGACUGAGAUACGGCCCAGACUCCUACGGGAGGCAGCAGUGGGGAAUAUUGCACAAUGGGCGGAAGCCUGAUGCAGCAACGCCGCGUGCGGGAUGACGGCCUUCGGGUUGUAAACCGCUUUCGCCUGUGACGAAGCGUGAGUGACGGUAAUGGGUAAAGAAGCACCGGCUAACUACGUG
rnacentral:rRNA from 1 species